CACCAGGUGUCUAUAUAAUGGAUCACAACUUUCCUCUCUGGUUGACUCCUUUUUCCAGCCAUGCCCUGACGAAAUGGAUGGAUAACUUAACAGGCCUGAAGGCAGGGCCAAACUGUCAGGGGGCCACCUGGCCUUCACCUGUAAUAAAGGCAUUUUAACCAUAUAUCCUUGGCUCAAUGCUAGUGUGCCUUAGCUCAGUGGUUUCCCCUUUUCAUAUGUUGAUUCUCUUUUAACUACAGGACAUUAAAUAGAUCAAACACGGCAGCCAAAAUGUUUUAAAUGUUUUUAUUCUAAUUUUCAGGUUGGUGGAGGUACAUUAUUGUGUCUGUGGGUUUAGCAACACUCAUAAUAAGUGUUGUCACAGUCAACAUAUGGAAGAGAACUAAAGGGAGCCAAACACAGAUGGAGGACGAUGCUGUGCAUCAUGAUGAAGAUGAAGGUACAGUCAGCUAUGAAAACGUCGGAGAACCUUCUGCUUCCAUCAGACUCCACUGAUCCAACUUCAACAUCAGCUCACAAGAAAAAACAGGGGCGUCGGUGGUUCACGCUUAACUGUCCUAACUAUAAAGACAA